rnacentral:rRNA from 1 species
UACGUAGGGUGCAAGCGUUGUCUGGAAUUAUUGGGCGUAAAGAGCUCGUAGGCGGUUUGUCGCGUCUGCUGUGAAAACUCGGGGCUUAACUCCGGGCCUGCAGUGGGUACGGGCAGACUAGAGUGCGGUAGGGGAGACUGGAAUUCCUGGUGUAGCGGUGAAAUGCGCAGAUAUCAGGAGGAACACCGGUGGCGAAAGCGGCUCUCUGGAACGGUACUGACGCUGAGACGCGAAAGCGUGGGGAGCGAACAGG